rnacentral:rRNA from 1 species
CCUACGGGCGGCAGCAGUCGAGAAUCAUUCACAAUGGGGGAAACCCUGAUGGUGCGACGCCGCGUGGGGGAAUGAAGGUCUUCGGAUUGUAAACCCCUGUCAUGUGGGAGCAAAUUAAAAAGAUAGUACCACAAGAGGAAGAGACGGCUAACUCUGUGCCAGCAGCCGCGGGAAUACAGAGGUCUCAAGCGUUGUUCGGAAUCACUGGGCGUAAAGCGUGCGUAGGCUGUUUCGUAAGUCGUGUGUGAAAGGCGCGGGCUCAACCCGCGGACGGCACAUGAUACUGCGAGACUAGAGUAAUGGAGGGGGGACCGGAAUUCUCGGUGUAGCAGUGAAAUGCGUAGAUAUCGAGAGGAACACUCGUGGCGAAGGCGGGUUCCUGGACAUUAACUGACGCUGAGGCACGAAGGCCAGGGGAGCGAAAGGGAUUAGAUACCCGAGUAGUC